AAAAGUGUGUCCCCCCCCCCUGUAACUUCUAAAAUAACAGAAUGAAAAAUCUAAAAAAAAUAUAUGAUAUACAUUAGCAUGCAAACUUCCACCGAAAAUUGGUUUGAACGAGAUCUAGUGAGUAGUUUUUUUUAAUACGUCAUAAAAUUAAAAAAAAAAAUUUCAUCAAACAUAUGUGUGGGGUAUCUAUGGAUAGGUCUUCAAAAAUGAUAUUUAGGUUUCUAAUAUCAUUUUUUUCUAAACUGAAUAGUUUGCGCGAGAGACACUUCCAAAAUGAAAAAUUUUUUUUUUUUAAAUUUUUAUGACGUAUUAAAAAAAAACUACUUACUAGAUCUCGUUCGAACCAAUUUUCGGUGGAAGUUUGCAUGGCAAUGUAUAUCAUAUAUUUUUUUUAGAUUUUUCAU